GGUUAAGCGACUAAGCGUACACGGUGGAUGCCCUGGCAGUCAGAGGCGAUGAAGGACGUGCUAAUCUGCGAUAAGCGUCGGUAAGGUGAUAUGAACCGUUAUAACCGGCGAUUUCCGAAUGGGGAAACCCAGUGUGAUUCGUCACACUAUCAUUAACUGAAUCCAUAGGUUAAUGAGGCGAACCGGGGGAACUGAAACAUCUAAGUACCCCGAGGAAAAGAAAUCAACCGAGAUUCCCCCAGUAGCGGCGAGCGAACGGGGAGCAGCCCAGAGCCUGAAUCAGUGUGUGUGUUAGUGGAAGCGUCUGGAAAGGCGCGCGAUACAGGGUGACAGCCCCGUACACAAAAAUGCACAUGCUGUGAGCUCGAUGAGUAGGGCGGGACACGUGGUAUCCUGUCUGAAUAUGGGGGGACCAUCCUCCAAGGCUAAAUACUCCUGACUGACCGAUAGUGAACCAGUACCGUGAGGGAAAGGCGAAAAGAACCCCGGCGAGGGGAGUGAAAAAGAACCUGAAACCGUGUACGUACAAGCAGUGGGAGCACGCUUAGGCGUGUGACUGCGUACCUUUUGUAUAAUGGGUCAGCGACUUAUAUUCUGUAGCAAGGUUAACCGAAUAGGGGAGCCGAAGGGAAACCGAGUCUUAACUGGGCGUUAAGUUGCAGGGUAUAGACCCGAAACCCGGUGAUCUAGCCAUGGGCAGGUUGAAGGUUGGGUAACACUAACUGGAGGACCGAACCGACUAAUGUUGAAAAAUUAGCGGAUGACUUGUGGCUGGGGGUGAAAGGCCAAUCAAACCGGGAGAUAGCUGGUUCUCCCCGAAAGCUAUUUAGGUAGCGCCUCGUGAAUUCAUCUCCGGGGGUAGAGCACUGUUUCGGCAAGGGGGUCAUCCCGACUUACCAACCCGAUGCAAACUGCGAAUACCGGAGAAUGUUAUCACGGGAGACACACGGCGGGUGCUAACGUCCGUCGUGAAGAGGGAAACAACCCAGACCGCCAGCUAAGGUCCCAAAGUCAUGGUUAAGUGGGAAACGAUGUGGGAAGGCCCAGACAGCCAGGAUGUUGGCUUAGAAGCAGCCAUCAUUUAAAGAAAGCGUAAUAGCUCACUGGUCGAGUCGGCCUGCGCGGAAGAUGUAACGGGGCUAAACCAUGCACCGAAGCUGCGGCAGCGACGCUGAUGCGUUGUUGGGUAGGGGAGCGUUCUGUAAGCCUGCGAAGGUGUGCUGUGAGGCAUGCUGGAGGUAUCAGAAGUGCGAAUGCUGACAUAAGUAACGAUAAAGCGGGUGAAAAGCCCGCUCGCCGGAAGACCAAGGGUUCCUGUCCAACGUUAAUCGGGGCAGGGUGAGUCGACCCCUAAGGCGAGGCCGAAAGGCGUAGUCGAUGGGAAACAGGUUAAUAUUCCUGUACUUGGUGUUACUGCGAAGGGGGGACGGAGAAGGCUAUGUUGGCCGGGCGACGGUUGUCCCGGUUUAAGCGUGUAGGCUGGUUUUCCAGGCAAAUCCGGAAAAUCAAGGCUGAGGCGUGAUGACGAGGCACUACGGUGCUGAAGCAACAAAUGCCCUGCUUCCAGGAAAAGCCUCUAAGCAUCAGGUAACAUCAAAUCGUACCCCAAACCGACACAGGUGGUCAGGUAGAGAAUACCAAGGCGCUUGAGAGAACUCGGGUGAAGGAACUAGGCAAAAUGGUGCCGUAACUUCGGGAGAAGGCACGCUGAUAUGUAGGUGAAGUCCCUCGCGGAUGGAGCUGAAAUCAGUCGAAGAUACCAGCUGGCUGCAACUGUUUAUUAAAAACACAGCACUGUGCAAACACGAAAGUGGACGUAUACGGUGUGACGCCUGCCCGGUGCCGGAAGGUUAAUUGAUGGGGUUAGCGCAAGCGAAGCUCUUGAUCGAAGCCCCGGUAAACGGCGGCCGUAACUAUAACGGUCCUAAGGUAGCGAAAUUCCUUGUCGGGUAAGUUCCGACCUGCACGAAUGGCGUAAUGAUGGCCAGGCUGUCUCCACCCGAGACUCAGUGAAAUUGAACUCGCUGUGAAGAUGCAGUGUACCCGCGGCAAGACGGAAAGACCCCGUGAACCUUUACUAUAGCUUGACACUGAACAUUGAGCCUUGAUGUGUAGGAUAGGUGGGAGGCUUUGAAGUGUGGACGCCAGUCUGCAUGGAGCCGACCUUGAAAUACCACCCUUUAAUGUUUGAUGUUCUAACGUGGACCCGUAAUCCGGGUUGCGGACAGUGUCUGGUGGGUAGUUUGACUGGGGCGGUCUCCUCCUAAAGAGUAACGGAGGAGCACGAAGGUUGGCUAAUCCUGGUCGGACAUCAGGAGGUUAGUGCAAUGGCAUAAGCCAGCUUGACUGCGAGCGUGACGGCGCGAGCAGGUGCGAAAGCAGGUCAUAGUGAUCCGGUGGUUCUGAAUGGAAGGGCCAUCGCUCAACGGAUAAAAGGUACUCCGGGGAUAACAGGCUGAUACCGCCCAAGAGUUCAUAUCGACGGCGGUGUUUGGCACCUCGAUGUCGGCUCAUCACAUCCUGGGGCUGAAGUAGGUCCCAAGGGUAUGGCUGUUCGCCAUUUAAAGUGGUACGCGAGCUGGGUUUAGAACGUCGUGAGACAGUUCGGUCCCUAUCUGCCGUGGGCGCUGGAGAAUUGAGGGGGGCUGCUCCUAGUACGAGAGGACCGGAGUGGACGCAUCACUGGUGUUCGGGUUGUCAUGCCAAUGGCACUGCCCGGUAGCUAAAUGCGGAAGAGAUAAGUGCUGAAAGCAUCUAAGCACGAAACUUGCCCCGAGAUGAGUUCUCCCUGACUCCUUGAGAGUCCUGAAGGAACGUUGAAGACGACGACGUUGAUAGGCCGGGUGUGUAAGCGCAGCGAUGCGUUGAGCUAACCGGUACUAAUGAACCGAGAGGCUUAACCUU
rnacentral:rRNA from 1 species